AGGGAGGGAGGCUGCGGAUGAGCGCGUGCGGGGAGGAGUCAGCGAUGGGAGGCGUCUGCAGGGGCUCCUCCAGUUCUGCGCCCAGAGAGAGCCCGGGCACAAAGAGCGGUCUGCACUCCAGCCUCAGGAUCGCCGGCCCGAGG
rnacentral:lncRNA from 1 species